rnacentral:rRNA from 1 species
AUUGAACGCUGGCGGCAGGCCUAACACAUGCAAGUCGAGCGAGCGGCGGACGGGUGAGUAAUGUCAGGGAAACUGCCUGAUGGAGGGGGAUAACUACUGGAAACGGUAGCUAAUACAGCAUACCAUUAAAUGUGCCCAGAUUGGAUUAGCUAGUAGGUGGGGUAACGGCUCACUUAGGCGACGAUCCCUAGCUGGUCUGAGAGGAUGACCAGCCACACUGGAACUGAGACACGGUCCAGACUCCUACGGGAGGCAGCAGUGGGGAAUAUUGCACAAGGGGCGCAAGCCUGAUGCAGCCAUGCCGAGUGUGUGAAGAAGGCCUUCGGGUUGUAAAGCACUUUCAGCUGGGAGGCGUUACCCGCAGAAGAAGCACCGGCUAACUCCGUGCCAGCAGCCGCGGUAAUUC